AUCUUUUCUCUUAAUCAAUCUAUUGAUUCAAAUUGUUCACAGUUUCAAUGUAGACAUUCAAUUCAUUGAAUGUUAUCAUGGUAUCAGACUCAGAAAUCAUGAAUUUUCGAGGGUAUCGAUCCUAUCUUCCGCUGAUCAAAUUUUAAAUUCUUUACCAAUUUCUUCUGAUGCUGCUGUUUUUCAUCAUCUUCAAUUCGGGUGAAGAUGCAAGGAGUUCGUACGGAGAGUUGUUACUGGUGAUUACUCGGUGUGAAGUUUGAUUUGAUCCUGAUACUUACUGCAACGUCGUCAAUCAGGAUUAAGCAUGUAUUUUGGAUCUAAAAUUCAGUUUUAAGGUUUGAUCUCUUGGUUAUUUCGAUUUCAUGUUCGGUGUUUGGAUUGAAAUCUCUUACCUCAUCAAUUGUCAUCUGAGUCUAUGCUGGUAAUCUCCAUCUUUAAUUUUUAUAUUACUUUAGAUUUGAUCUCAUGUGUUCAACUUCUACAUCACUAUCUCAACAAAAUUCAAUUUCGACUUCAAAUUUUGUUUUCAUCAUAACUUGGUAUGACUUUGACCUAGUUCUUUCAUCAAAUCCUACUGGUACUGAUUCCUGAAUCUAUUCGUUCUGAGCAUGCUUAUUUCUGCUACAAUAGUUAGUUAGGAAGAAGCUUAAUUUUGUUCCAUUGAAUAGUGGAGAAAGAUUCUUCUUAAAUCCAGUAGAAUGUUGGGGUACGUAUGUGUUGAUUGUUUGCUGCACCAUUGAGUUCUUAAUUUUUCUUCGGUUAGCUCCCCCUCUCAAUGUUACUUUGGUACAGUCCUCACAGUAGUGGUAUGUAGGUGAGUUGGUUAGUGUGUGUAAUGAUGGAACUAAGGAUGUUGUUUCGGAAUUGAAAUUGAUGAGACAUACAAGUAUAGAUUGAUGUUCUCUUUGAUGAGUCUAAAUUCAAUUCUGAUAUAGCGUGGUUUAGUUAUCUUUAUUGUUGUUUUUAUUUCAUUAUCCAAGUUAUACUUUAAGUGAAUAAUUCCUGGUACUUUAAUAAGUACUGGUGUGUCUGAAUAAUGCAUGGUAACUGCUUAGUAAACUUCUCCUAUGAAUGGUAAUUGCAAGAUAGUAGUGCUGCCAAUAUGCUUGAGUAUGACUGCAAGUUUACAAGCUCCUACUGCUGACUUGUUUAUCUGGUCACUUAUUAUUUUCUUGGAGCUAAAUUGGAUUGCAGCUGGUAUUUCUGGUAUUGUUGUUGGUUGUGUUGGAUAUCGGUUGAGAUCAUCUGUUUCAGGAAGUAUGAGUCAAUUCAUCAAACUGUCAUGAGAGUGUUGCUGGUGGUGUAUACUUCGUAUUUGUUCUCGAUACCGACUCAACCUCUUGCAUUUAUUUCUAUUGAUAAAUGAAUGCUUCCUACAUCUUAUUGGUUCACUUCCUUGUUGAAUACUUUAGUGAAAGUGUGUGGGCUUGAUGCUUGUUCUGAAAUUUAAAUGGUAUGCCACAUCAAGAUCUCACCAGAAAGUUGGAGGUGUGUGAUGGUGUCAAGUUAUGAUGCUAUAUGUUUUCGGUUUGGUCAGCAUUGUGCAACUCUUUUGUUAUUCAGUUUGCCUGCAACAACUUCAACUUUGAGGGAACUGUACAUGUUAGUAUGCUACUUGGUGCUGCUCUUCUAGCGCAGUUCAUUACUUAUGCACAAGUACAGUUUAUUCUCCGAUUCAUAUUGUACUAAGGUGCUACUGUUGUUGAGUAUAAUCUCCAAAUUCAGUUGCUUAUGGGUUCUUAAGCACUAGACUUCAGUUUUUUUUUUUUUUUUUAGUUUUUACUUAUACUCUGCAAGUUCAAUUCUGCUGCUAUACAUUUUGCUUCUGACACAUUUUCCGAACCUGCCACAACUUCAGUUGCCAUCAUAUUCUUUAUGUGCAUUACUGCUGCAACACCUCCUAAUGGCGUUAUUCCACUGCAAGCUUGCUGAAAUCCUGUUGUGGUGUGUGUUUUAAUGACAAGAUUUUGAAUCUCACAAUGUUAUGAGUGUUGGUAUGUUUUGGUCCUUUGGAUACUUUUGCAGCUACAUCUCGUAUUUUCAGAUUGGCAUACAAUACAAGGUUACAAGUUUCUGACCAUCUACGUGCACCACCUGGUUACGGUCGGCAUAAAUUCUACUUAGUUCUGCAAUUAUCAGUUGUCCACAUUCCUCAUCUGUUGGUGCAAGAGCUAAUAUGAUACAUAUCUACUUCUGGUCACUUUUCACUUCUGCACCCUCAGUGGCUACCACAGCAACCAUAUUAGCCAGCAUGUUUUGUUUAGAGUAUGUGUGUGAAUGAUUGUGUGUGCAAGCUCAAGUCGCCUCUUUAAGCCCCCUUGAGCUUGAGAGAGGGUAAUAACAUGUACUGUGUGUGUUUUGUAAGUGUGCGAGUGAAUGUACGUCUUGUAGGUUGUGUGUGCAGCAUGUGCGAGUGUAAGAGAGAAUGAGGAAGUCGAGUCUGAGCUAUAUAUUCUCAUUUAUCCUGUAAACUCAAUUAUCUUUUCUCUUAAUCAAUUUAUUGAUUCAAAUCGUUCGCAGUACCAA